GCCCAACCAUGGAUCCAGAUUUACCUCUUUCUUCUUCAAGCACUAGAAAGGUGAAAUUCGCUCCCAAAGGACCUCCCCGUCGAAAGAAGCAAAAUCCUGCACAACCUAAAAAUGAAGCAGAUGGAAAUGAGGAUAGGGAUGAUAAUGAAGCUGCUGAAGCUGUUCUGCGCAAAGUCAAUGAGCGCUUGACUAGACAGAAACCUAAAACAGAGAAAAAAGUUGAGGUUGCAUUUGCUCA
rnacentral:misc_RNA from 1 species